rnacentral:lncRNA from 1 species
GUUGAUUUUUAAAUGCUGCUAAUCAUUGUUAUAAAUUAAACAAAAGAUUUACAAAUUGUGACCUGAAUAUUUUUCUAGAAGUGGGAAACAUGAUUGCUUUUGACUUCGUCAUUUCAGUGGUAUCAAAAAGUGAAUGACUAUUGUGGGCUGGAGUUAGUUUUGUACUUUCUACACUUUAUCCACUGCCGGUUGCUUUACCAAAUCCUCUGCUCAGCACUGGAGACUGGGAAGACAUCUGUCUCUGACUGUCCUCCUCCACCUCCCACCAAAGCACCACAGGGAUCAUGAAUAUCCCUAAUUAUACUGGCCUCCAUCAAAACACACACACAUCAUGAAGGAGCGGUCACCUCUGUGUGUUCCAAGGCCACUUUCCUUUCAUCAAUCCUGAGUAUUGACUUUUUAAACUUGCAGCUUUGUUUUUUUUUGUUUACCCAUUUUCCUUUGAAUCAUCUGACUACAUUUCUUUCUUAGAGAUGGCCACAGCCAAACCCUGCUUUUUGGCUGUAGGUCUUUUGGCUAGAGGCCCUUCAGUUUUAGGAAAGCAUCUUUUACUAUGGAGACAACAUUUCAUGUUAUUUAACUUUAUGACUUAAAAACAACCUCGGAAAAUCUUCUGGCAGAGAUUGCAGACGCCAAGUUUGAAGUGGAAUCGGUGUCAACAAUAAAGUCAUGGCCCUUCAUUAGGAGGUUUUCCCAUUGCACAGGAGAGACCAGUUGCCCAGUUUGACUUCUUUGAUGUUCACAGCGCCUGGAUUUGAUGCUUAAUGGGUUUGUGACUGCAGUGAAAUGCCGUUCAUUAACUUUUGUUAUAUGUUGAAUUGUCUUCAGAUGAGGUAUGUAUCCUAUUUGAGCAAAGAAAAAAUAAUUCAUUUGGGCCUUAUAAUUUCAAAAUUUGGAGUCACAUUGGGAUGGAAUUAAUACACCCAUUAGCUUAACAAACAAGAAACAAACCAAAAAGAGAGAGAGAUGAAAGAUAUGUUGGGGAAAUGAGGUUCAUAAGAGACUUUAGCUGUGCUGUUUAGCCUACUAAAAAUUCAUCUUGUAGGAGCACUUAGCUCUAUGUUUAUAUCUAUUCGCGUAAAGCAGAUAUGAAUUUUAAAUGAUUAUUACAUGAAUGCAAGAAAAUCAGUAUCUGUUCUAGGUAUGUUAUUCUGGUCCUGCUUAUAUCUAAAUAUG